CAAUUAUUGACGAAAGAACCUCUUUUCACGACAAGCGGCCAACGAGUUCUCACGGCGUUAACAAGGCAUGAGUGGCGGGACCAAAGGUGGAAGCAACAACAAUAAACGCCCGUUCCAAAGAA